UAUAAUUCAGAGUUUGACUGCAUCUUACAACCGGAGCUGUACUACAAUGAAGCGGACCUGCACAGCUCAGGAAAGGGCCACGAAAAAGAGGCCGUUCACAGACUCAGAAACUGUGAAGGACUGCAUGUUGGCUGUCGUGGAUGAAGUUUUAACGGACGAUAAAGUUAAGACGAGUGUGACAUCUGCUAUCAAACAGGUUUCCCAGAGACUAUGGGUUGAGGAGGAAUUGGAAGUUUGUCGGCUUAGACCUGGUGUCAUUCCAUCAGUGUUAAACUUCCCGGCUCAUCUUGGAAGAGUACGUGCCAGAAAGACCACGACCAAGCAGCCUUGAGAUCUUAGGCAGCGUCUCCCUGAGGUCCCUCUCUAUCUCCGCACACAUCCAGCAACCACUGGAACACAUCUCCAAAGUUCUGCUGGGCCAGCUCAGCUUCCCCUCAGAAGAAGUGCCGCCACCUGCCAGAUGAAGGAGCCUUUUGAGAGGCAGCUGGCAUCGUGAUUGGACUGUACUGUGGUCUGUUCCAAUCCAGCUUCAGCUCCAGAGACGGCAGGCGGGACGAGUCAACGGAGGCCGGGUGGACGAAGGCAUGCAGCUGAGUACAAUCCAGAAAACAACAGAGGAGGAGUGCAGCUGCCCAGAGCCAGAACAACCAGAGUAGCAUCAUAUGUCUCUUAGAAAACAUCAUAGUAUAGCCUUUGGUAUGAAAAAACGCCAUCAUAUACAUCGUAUAUUGUACAAAUAACAAGUCAAAGGAAAGAGACAGACAUUGUAGAAUUGUAGUAAUUGUGGGCUGACUGAUUUACUGAUUAUCAGUAUUUUAUUUUUUACUGAUUUAUGGUAAUAAAUACAUUUAAAAAUGGCGCUACUUUGGCUCUGAACCUUUAUCUACCUGUGGUCACUCUGUCUUCUGGAGUGAUUUGAUUGGUUAUACGUCACGAAUAAAACUCCUUUAACUUAACAUCUGUAAACAAAACAAAUAUGUAUCAACAAAGUUUCCUGUUAGAGUUUGUGUUCUUCUAAGUUUAACUCAAGAUUUUAAGUACUUUCAUUUACUGCAAAUGAAUAUCUACUCCAAAUGUCUCACUAAUA